UUAGAAUCUAGACCUGGCAUAUCUUCAUACGACCAUGCAAAAAUAUCCGGGUAUUCCCGGAGGAGCUGGAUGAUCUUCUUUUUAACCCCUUCCUCUAGAGCAGCACCGAUCUUGAUUUCUCGCUUGUUCUCCUCGGUACCUAUGUUGAUAAGCUCAAUCUCUUCCUGG
rnacentral:pre_miRNA from 1 species